GAAUUAUACGAAGGACCUGGCCGCAAGAAGGCAUUGAGCCCCGAGGAGGACAACAGGCCUCAGGUACUUCAUGUGAUUAAAGCUGAGACAAGGGGAGUCCCAUGGGUCAGUCCUGUAACUGGGGUCUGAUAUACACUAGUGAUAGGCAUUAGCAUAGUUUGCACAUUAUAUGAUAGUCUUGGUCCUUUUCAUUUCCUGAUAAGCUGGAAUGUCUGACAGAGUAAAUUCCAGAUGCCCUUGUGGAAUUCUCAUUACGAUCAUGUUGCUAAGGAACUGUCUUCUACCUGUAUGCAAUUUGGAAAUACUAUUAAUAGUAUUAACAUGGAGUUUUGCAGUGUGUGGGUUUAUUUCUUAUUGUAUUUAUAAUCACCCCCACCACUACCUUCCCACCGCUGGCUCACCAUCUGAGGAGCUGGCAUCAGGAAACUCAAGAAAGAAGGAAGGAAGGAAGGAAGGAAGGAAGGAAGGAAGGAAAGAAGGAAGGAAGGAAGGGAAAGGUUGUCCAGGCUUCACAGGAAGAACUGCAUUUGUAUUAUUCUGUAUUGAAUUCUCAGGACCUCCACAUUGCAGGCAUCUAGAGGCUCCAAUUAAUAGUUGAUAAAUCUUGAAGGGAGGAAAAAAUAGUCACAGAAAGUUCACUUGAGUGACCUGAAAUUCUAUAGCAAUUUAGCCAGGGAGCCGGGAGGAGAAUAUGCCCUUCCAACUUGCAGGCCAGCUCUCUGCAGGAAGCCAGGCAGCUCUCCCAGGGGAAGCAGUGGCCAGGGCAAGCAUGGGUCUUGAAGCUCAGGACUGGCUUUAGGACUCUGGCUCAGACAAGAUGGGUGGCUCAAAGGUAUUGAAGGGCUAGGUAGGGCCCUGAAAAUUGGGCCUUUCUGCAGCAAUCAUCAGGGAGACUAAUGGUCCUGGGCUAGGGAAGGAGUCUUCUUGGCCCAGAAUGGCCAAGCAGCCAAAUAUUAGAGCACCUCCAGGGAGGUGUCCCUGGAAAGGGUCCUCCCCCAGUCAGCUCCUGCGGAGUGCAGGCAGGUUUGGGGGUCUCUCCUCUAGGAGAGAUCCAGGGAGCUUGAGAGCAAAAGUGACAAUGUGCCUGCCUUCUUCCUUCUCUGUAGGGCUCUGUUCUCUUUCUUCUUUUUUGAGGCAGGAUCUUUUGCUUUAUUGUCCAGGUUGGAGUGCAGUGGCAUGAUCACGGCUCACUGCAGCCUCAGCCUCCUGGGCUCAAGCAAUCCUCCCACCUCAGCUUCCUGAGUAGCUGAGACCAUGCCUGGCUAAUUUUUAAGUUUUUUUGUAGAGACGAGGUCUCAUUGUGUUGCCCAGGCUGGUCUUGAACUCCUGGGCUCAAGCAAUUCUCCCACCUCAGCCUCCCAAAGCACUGGGAUUAUAGGCGUGAGCCACUGUGUCUGGCCUGCUCUCUUUCUUAAGGAGAAGGCUUCUGUUAUUUUUUGGUCAAUUGGGUGCAGAAAGCCUGUUCCCCAUGGACAACCCUUGAGGGGGUCAGAAUGUCAGCAGAAGGGAAAGGAUGGCUUUCCAAGAGUGUUCUGUGCUUGGGCAUAACCGUCUCUUGUGUCCUGCUCCUGAGAGCCAUGAGACUAAGAGCAUGGGACAGAGGCAGUGACUGAACUGGGCUUGAGAACACCUUUGUUUGCUGGGCCUGUUUUCCUACCAAGAGCCUGUCAGCCCGGGUUUUGGAAGGCCAAUCCAGGAGAAUACGGGAGGUUGCAGGCAGCUCUGACCAGCCUGUCUCUCCCCACCCCUUGUUUCAGACCUCUCCAGAGUCCGAUGUCCUUCUGCACAAGUCCUUGUUGUCCAGUCUGUGGCCCAAACACCCACAGGGCAUGGUGGAGGCCUGAGACAGUGCUGGUUUUGCUGGGGCCAUCAGAAAAGCUUACGAAGCAGGCUCGGCCAUUGGCUGGAAGUCACUAGCCCCUGCUGGGCUCAUGCAAUACUCAUGGAACUGGUGUGGGCUCCUGCGGGUUCCCUAUGAGCAAUGCCUCACCCAUUUAAAGCUCGUCAAAGGACUUGUUCAAUAUCCUGGGUCCCUUUCUGUUCAUUUUUUCUCUCCCCCCGUGCUGUCCUCCUUCAACUUUCCCCGACCACCCCUCCUCUUUUUAAGCUCUUGGCACCAAGUAACUAUGAAGACUCUGAGAACUGGACCAUCCCAAGGCUGUAGCUUUCUUCAAGCCUGGCAGGCUCUGUCGUGGUGAAGAGUCUGAAGGCUUUUUCUUUUCCAGUAACACAGGAGGUGAUUGAAUGGAAGGAGUGGCCAGUCACUCUUUGGCGUCCAGGAUCCAAGAAGAAACAGAUGAGGAGGAAGGAGGAUAAACAACUUCUGGACAAAGCGACUGAAUAACCUGGUGGUCACAAGAAAGCAAAGGGAUUUUUAUGUGACAUCAUCUUGGCAAGAAGCUCCCUUACCAACCUUGACCUCCAGGUCUCCAUGGCAACUGCUGCUGGGACAUCAUUGGCACCAGAUUGUGUCCCUUAAAGGCCACACUGCAGCAAGGGCAGAUAAACAAUUUCAUGGCAACAGUCACGUAGCAAUCUCAUUCUUAAAUGUGGGCUGGUUAGUUAGGAUGAUGUAAGUGGUUUUUUCCACUCUCUUCCGCAUUCUGACUCCAGAAUUCUGGGCCUAGGACAUAGUCAAAGAAUGUACCUUGGGGUAUGAGGUAAGAAAACAGGCUGGGGUGGGACUUGAAGAAGUACCUUCUUCUAGACACAGGGACAGAUUCUUUUUCCUUUCCCAGUUGAGAGUUCAUUUUCUGUCUCGGUUCAACAAAGGCAUGUUAUCUUUAUAUAAAGGAAGCUGUAAUAGACAGUCUCCAAGAUGGCAGCCUUUAGUUCUUUCCCUCCUCAGAUUCAUGAGCUGCUUCUCACCUCUUAAAUCUGGUCUACCUAUAGUGACUUGCUUGACCAACAGAAUAUGCUAGGAGCAACAUUCUGGAACUUCCAAGGCUUGGUUGUAAGAAGCUUUGCAAUAUCUGCCUGGAUCUCUUAGAACCUUCAAUAUGGGACACUUGCUCUAGAAAUCAGCCACCAUCCUGUGAGAAGUCCAAGCCACAGAGUGAGGCCAGAAAUAGUUGCUGCAGUCAAGAGCCCCAGCUGAGCUCUCAGCCAACAUUCAGCAUCACUGCCAGCCAUGUGAGUGAGUGAUGGUGACCUUGGAUGUCCAGCUCAGUAGAACCUUCAGAUGAUUUCAGCCCUAGCCGUUCCAACUGCAAGACAUCCUGAGUGAGCUGAGCCCAGUCAACAGAGAUGUGAGAGAUAAAAAUGCAUUGUUUUGAGACACUAAGUUUUAGAGUGUCUGUUGUGUAGCAGUAGGUAGUUCAAGAGGAAUGAAAUGCUAGAUGGGGUAUGGAAGAUAGGAGAGGACCUCCUGAUAGCUCAGCUACUUUGAAAGGCUUUAUUUAUCAGGAUUUUUU
rnacentral:lncRNA from 1 species